rnacentral:rRNA from 1 species
UACGUAGGGGGCAAGCGUUGUCCGGAAUUAUUGGGCGUAAAGCGCGUGUAGGCGGCUUUGCAAGUCGGGUGUGAAAGCCCUCGGCUCAACCGAGGAAGUGCGCCCGAAACUGCAGAGCUUGAGUACCGGAGAGGGUGGCGGAAUUCCCCAAGUAGAGGUGAAAUUCGUAGAUAUGGGGAGGAACACCAGUGGCGAAGGCGGCCACCUGGACGGUUACUGACGCUGAGACGCGAAAGCGUGGGGAGCAAACAGG